UACGUAGGGCGCGAGCGUUGUCCGGAAUUAUUGGGCGUAAAGAGCUCGUAGGCGGCCUGUUGCGUCCGCUGUGAAAUCCCGGGGCUCAACCCCUGGGCGUGCAGUGGAUACGGGCAGGCUGGAGGCAGGCAGGGGAGAACGGAAUUCCCGGUGUAGCGGUGAAAUGCGCAGAUAUCGGGAGGAACACCGGUGGCGAAGGCGGUUCUCUGGGCCUGUGCUGACGCUGAGGAGCGAAAAGCGUGGGGAGCGAACAGG
rnacentral:rRNA from 1 species